rnacentral:lncRNA from 1 species
UUUGACGGAAGUUUCCAGUCCUUUGGGCAAAUGUUAUCACUUGAUCGUUUACAAAAUUUGGAGGUAAUUAAGUAACUUCAUAACUAUUGCUGAAAUGAUGUUUCUAUUUGACUUCAGUAUUUGAAUCAUGGUUGUGAUUGGCACUUGUGAAUUAGGUGCCUGAAAAAUUCAUCGCAUGAGGACCUUUGUUUAUAAUCAAGAGGAAUUGCUACUCUUCCUUGUGGUAGUUGCCUAGAAAUGAUUGCUUGGUGGUACCAUGAAUGAGUAUGGCAUGUCUACUAAGAAUAUUAUAAAUAAUAAAUUGUCCCUCUCUCUAACUUAAAUUUUUAGAUGAGUUGGUGGUCAACACUUUCACAUGGUAUUAGAGCUAUGGUGGUCGUAUUGAAAAAUAUUCAGUUCUGCAUAUUACUUCUAGUUUUGAUGUUCUCCCACCUAAUUAGUAAAUCUUACAUCCAGCAUGCAGAUCCUGAAGGUUUCUCAACUCAUUUGAGGUGGUGGUUUUGUAGUUGAUUGUCUUUUAACUAUACAAUUCUUCCCAUCACCAUGUUGGAGUUGUAUAGAUUUAUCGAGGGUAGCCUCACUUAGCUCUCCAGAAAUAAAUAAACAGAAGAGAAAGAGAAAAAUAAAUUAAUUUGGAGGCAAAACAUUAACCAAAAAUCUACAAUAAAGAGAGAGUUCUAUUAAAUUUACCAUAAACCUUGUGCUUACUUGUAGAAGAACAAGUUGCUACCACCCAGCGUCACUAAAGCAGGGAUAAAAGAGGAGAGGGGGGGAGGGGGAUUGAUGGUUGUGGUGCUAUACUGCUGGAGAAAUGAGACCUGGUGAUGGUGGGUUGUGGUAGAGUAAUCAUAUGCCUAUAUAAAGGGAGAACCAAGUUUGGUGGCAACUCAUUGAAGUGUUAUGUCCUAACAAUUAAACAAUGUGCGCUUUGAUUUUUAAGGUGUCAAUGUGGACAAGAGCCUAAAAUUUAGCAGUGACUGAUUCAGUUUCUGGUCCCUUUCUGUAAUUGCUUUCUCUUGUGAUUUAGUGGUUUGAGUUUGAUGUGCAUUGUGGCCUCUUGCAAACCAUGCUCUGUUUUUCUUUUGGUCGUGGGUUGCGUUUCCCUUGGCCUUCAUUUGUUGCGUUUGCAUUGCUCUGGUUCGUACCAACAAUAAUAUUUCAUUGUUACAAUUAAAAAAAACAUUCUCCAAGAAUAUGAAUAUGGAGGCAUGAGAGAACCCCACAAGGGAAGUAAUCCCGCACGUGCAGUCCGGACUCACGUAAACGACUCGAGCGGAAGCUUGGCUCAUGCGAGAGCCACCCAAGACCUAAUUCUGAUACCAUAUUAAAGAAGAUCGAGGAACUCAACCUAAAACCAAAUUGGCAAUAGGUGGAGUAAAAUUUAGAUUAUAUAUGCUAAAAUUGGGCAACUUAAGUAAGCGACGUGGGAUUAACGCUACGAACAACUGCAUUGGAUGGUAGUUCAAAAAUGAAGAUAAUUUUUUUUUAUUAAAGUGCAAACUUGUAGUGUUCGCAAAAAAUUAAUCAGCAAGCUGCAAAAAAGAGAGAGUUCAUUAUAUUUACCAUGAACCUUGUUUUUUCUUGUAAUAGACCAAGCUGGCCUGACUCCUUGAGCAUAUAUUUAAUUUUUUUCCCCUCUAUCUUAUUGUAUCUUGCCUCUGAUCCUAUUUUUUCUUCAUGUUUUUUUUUUUUUUGAAAGUCUUGAGUUCAAGUCUCUCUAUUUGUAUUUGUUCCCUGUUUGCAUUCUGCCACUCCUCUUUGCAAUCCGUUUUGCUUUAUAUGGGUGCCACACUAAGAAUGGAGUUGCACGUGAGUGAGGUUGUUAGAUAGCCUGAUAUAAACUUAAGCUUUUAGGAAAUUUAAUGAUCUAACACAAAGUCUGAGUAGACUAAAACAACUUGCUUGUUUUAUUUCAAACCACUGAAUCCCGUCAUAAAUUUUCAUUUGACUAUCCAGUAAAACUGGUUCCAUUUCUCUCUACGCCCCAAAAAUCUUGGUCAUUUAGUUGCCAGCAUACAGAUCCAGAACUUUUUUUUUAAAACUCAUUCUACGUGCCUGUUUUUGUUUAUUGAUUUAAUAUAAUGCUUUAUUUUUUGGAUGUUUUCCAGCACCAUGACAAAGAAUGCUUGCCUAUAUAAUGCUUGCCCGCACCAUGAUAGAGUUAGAUAGACUUAAUGUCGCAAGCCUCAUCUACGCUCACUUAGCUCUCCAGAAAUAAACCAAAAGAGAGUAAGUUAUUUUGUGGCAAGAAAUUAACCAGAAAGUUGUAUAAAAGGAGAGAGUUUUUCCCACUAAAUUUACCAUAAUCCUUGUGUUUCUUGUAUAGAAUAAUUUGACCCCCGACUCUUUUGCGUAUACCUCUAUCUUCUUCGUGCUUCAUCUUUUUGGAAACAGAAGGUGAAGAUACUUUAGGAACAGUUUCUUAUUCAACUCAAAAAAAUGCAGCUGAAUCUUUGACAGCUAAAGCCACUGAAUCUUUGCGGCCUCCAUAUUCAAGGAGCUUAAGAGCAUUAAAGCCUCCUCAUUCCCAUUUGUUUUUGUGCACCUUAUGGACAAUGAGGAUGGAAUUCAUUCUCGGAGCAAUCCCUUGGUGGUCCCCCAUCUUGUCAGAGGUUAGGGAAAAUGAGAACGCCCGCAUGAGAAAUUGUGUUGAUUUUGAAGAGGAAAAUGAGGCAAUUGAUUUAGAUGAAACUGGAAAAUCUCCUUUCUCCUUAGGGUUUUGUGGAGUUGUGAGUACUAGAAUGGAAGAGAGGAAAUUAAAGAUAGACACAUGUGGCGACCAAGAGACAAUCGACGGUGGCUGCUGGAGAUUGCUAGUUAAUGGUCCGAACUGGAGCUAUUUCCGGGAAUGACUCUCCGACCGUCAAGUUAGAUAAUCGGUGGGUAUAAAGUGUAUGUAGAGAGAGAGUGUGUAUAAGCUUAGAGUAUCUAAAAUUGCAUACCUUCGAAUGAGUAAGGUCUGGCCUUAUAUAGCAAUUCGACGUGUAUCAGGUCGUGCCAACCAUCAUGUCACUGGAUAGACUGCAGCACGCGCCACACUGACUUGCUGUGUCAGUGAGUAGUAGGCGUAGACCUUGCCAUGCAAGUCACCUUCAGUCUCCUAAUGUGCCUCGGGAUCACCGCUGACCAUUGCAUCUUGACCAAGUUCUGGCGCAGUGACUCUGCCGAGCUUGCUAUGGAGUGACAGCUUGACAACAGUGCUUGCCUAACUUGACCAGAGCUAAUGUUGCAUCUCGACCAAGCCUAGGCGCACAGACCUCACCGAGCUUGCUAUAGAGCAACAAUCUGGCAGCGGUGCCUGCCUUAGCUCAGCUAGAGCUUUUACGUAAUAUUUUAUCCCUUAUAAUUGUCCCUCAGUUCGCAUGAGCUAGAUCUAUGCUAGUCGAGGUCAUGUGAGUUUGAUAUUUGUGAUGUUUAAUGCUGAAGCUCGACAAGAUAGUUGUGCCAGUGCCUGCAAGCUGUCUAAACUCUUUAUGGAUUUGUAAUUUGCUGUAUUACGGUGCCACGGUCAGUCUGACUCACAUUAGCUCGGUUUGAGCACGGAUGCCUAACCCUUAAGGUUGUGUUGGCUUGGACGCGAGGUGAUUGAGUCACCCCAUGUUUCCUCCCGUUGGUUCAGAGGCAGGAAUUCUUGGCCUGGCAAACAACAUUCCUUAAGUGGGGGGGGGUUUUUUGGGGUGUGUUUUCGAAUAUUUGCCCAUCCUGUGACUUCCUUAAAAGUUUUUUCUCCUUCCUUGGAUCUAUUCAUUUUUUGAACAUGGAAAUAAUAGCUCAGGAUUGCUUAUCGAGUUCAUAGCGAAUGUCUCUUUUGACUGACCUUGGGGAUUCUUUUAAGAUUCUCAGGACUUCCUCUCCAGUUCCACCAGCUGCAUCUUCUUCAUGAUUGCCUUUAUGCAUAUUGUGAUGAGAUAGCAUUGUUUUACCGCCACUUGGUCUCCAUGGAGUGUUUCCUCUACCUUGGGAGCGAAAAACCUGAGGACCUUGUGCAAUGUGGAUGCAACUUCCUUCAUCUUAUGUAACAAAUCUCGAUCGACGAUUGCAGUUAUACAGGGAGAGGAUAUUAAUAACAAUGAACUCUGUCACUAACUCUUGGAAACCAUCUUGGAUUUUGAGGGUUACAGUUCUCAAUGGCCAAUGGGACUAAGUGUUGAACCCGACUAACAAAGCUCGGGCCGGCUUUAGAGCAACCUCAAACAGUUUUAAUUAUUUAAAAAGUUCAUAAUACAUCACUUCAACUAAAAUGCUGGAGUUCACCAAGAUUCGUUUGACAUCGUAGCCAUGGAUCUGCAAUUGGAUGACCAAAGGAUCGUUGUGGGGGUACUGAACCCGCUCAAAAUCUGCUUUGGUAAAAGUGAUGCUUCUUGGCUCGGACAUGCCUUAUCUUGGCUUCCUCAUCGCUGGCUGGACUGAGCGAACAUUUUGACCCGAGACAUGAGAUUCUAGAGGUCAACUAGAGAGUUGAGCGUCAGGUCCUCCCAAGCUUCUCGCUGAGGUCAGCCCAAGCUUGUAGCUGACCAUGGCUAGCUUUUCUGAACACCCUCCUAUCUCUUUGUACAGCUCCUAAUAACAUUUUCUAUAGUUGUGAAGCAUUUCAUUCUUGCCUUUUCUAAGUGUCAGUAGAGAGUUGACCACCUUUGGUGCCUUUGUGUUGAUAACAAACCAAGCUAAGUAUGACUCGGUAAGUUGGUAAAAGCUCCCAAUGGAUCUAUCGGGAAGCUUAUCAAACCAUUUCAACCCGAGAUCCCCCAAGCUUGAUGAAAAUAUCCCGCACAUGAGUGCAUCGAGAUGAUUUCAAAGUGCCAUCAUUUGUUUGAAAUGGAUGAUGUGAGACCUAGAGUUUGAAUUCUCGUCGUAUAGAGUGAACUUCAGAGGAUUGAACUUCUUAGGAGGGUUCAUUCUCUCAAUCUAGGGCGUUAAUGGGGUUUGGUACCUCGGGAUUUGUUCUCUUGGCACGGACCUGACAAUCUCAAGUGUUAUUGCCUUGGUGAGCAGCUUCGCCC